rnacentral:rRNA from 1 species
CACGUAUCCAACCUGCCGAUGACUCGGGGGAUAGCCUUUCGAAAGAAAGAUUAAUACCCGAUGGCAUAGUUCUUCCGCAUGGUGGAACUAUUAAAGAAUUUCGGUCAUCGAUGGGGAUGCGUUCCAUUAGGUUGUUGGCGGGGUAACGGCCCACCAAGCCUUCGAUGGAUAGGGGUUCUGAGAGGAAGGUCCCCCACAUUGGAACUGAGACACGGUCCAAACUCCUACGGGAGGCAGCAUG